AAAUGUGUAAUUGAUUUAUUUUGUGUAUGUCUGUGAAAUAUGAGGAGUACCUUUCAGAAUAAGAUAAAUAGAAGAAUCAAAUUUUAUGUGUCGAGAAAUAAAUGUAGUGGAUGAAAUGUCUCUUGUACAUGUAUUAGAUUAGAUUUGUAUAAGUUGUGAAUAAGUUAUUUACAUAAAGUUAAGACAUAAAUGUAUUUUUGUGUGUCAAUAUUUAAACAGGUAUUGGAUUUAUUCAGGUUUACUUAUGAAAAUCCAGCCUAUAUCUAAUGAGUAAGAUAUAAAGGGAAAAUGAAAAAAGUUGUUGUCAAUGUGAAACUAUAAUGAUGCAUCCUUAAAUUUAUAUUACGAAACUAGUCAGCUAUUUUCACCUCAUUGCAAUGCUCAGACUACAUACUUCCUAAAAACCUUAUGACUGCUAUAUUUGAAUUUCACUUUUCAUCAAUUUAGUGUUUAUGUUAAGUUCUGUAAAAACAUAAAUUAAUACUGUACAAUGAACUAUUUGGCAUUUUUUUUAUUCAAUUUAGGGUUUUGAAAUGAUAAGUUGAUAUUUGUGGAUAAUUAAUUGGAAAAUUGUUUGUGAAAUUCAUAGUUUACCACUUCAAGAGUUUAAAUUGAUGGUGGUCCAAAGUUUUACCUUUAGAUUGUCUAUUUUAAUGCAUACAGUAUGGACCUUCAAUAUCUGAGAGCUAUCUUUAUCAACUGACCUAGUAUUUUUCAAGAGUUUUGAUUUAGAAUUCUCGAAAUGUUUUGGCCUUUCAACCAUGAAAUUUGAUUUAAACAUGUUUGUUUAUCCAAACACACAAUAUUUUUUUUUUUCAUUUACGCAUUGUAAAUAUAAUAACGCUCCACACAUGAAUGUGACAAAAUAAUGAAUGAAAAAUUAUAAGACUCUUAAGUAAAACUAUUGUAACUGUAGUAAUGAAAUAUAACAAUUUAUCACAAAAUGUUGCAAUGAUCAGAUUUUCAUAACAUUUUUUUUGCAUUUUAUGAAAUUAAGCUGCCAAGUAUUUUUAAUAUAUAAUAGACACCUUUGAAACUAAAGAAAUAUCCUUACAUAGGUAAUUGAAGUGUAUAUAGACAAUACAUAACUGUACUUACAUUUUAUAAAGGUAAGUUAUUAAUCAUUCCCAAUCUUUUAUUUGACCUGCAUGCAUGUAUGCGGUUUUAAAUUUCAUGGAGGAAUGUAAAACCCUGAUUGAUCUUUUAUUGCUGAAGUAUAUUAUUUUGACAAAUAACAUUAACAUUGUUAAAUUUAACAUCUAUGACUACCAUCUAUGUGUAAAUUGUAAAACAAUGAUAAUU
rnacentral:lncRNA from 1 species